rnacentral:rRNA from 1 species
UAACUGUAAACUGUGCCAGCUGGGCAUUCGCCAACGCUUUAUCUUGGCGAGCACUCUCCGGGAAACCAAAGUGAUCGGGUUCCGGGGAGAGUAUGGUUGCAAAAUCGAAACUUAAAGGAAUUGACGGAGGGGCACACCAGAAGUGGAGCCUGCGGCUCAAUUUGACUCAACGCACGAAAGCUUACUCGGUCCGAACACUGCGAGGAUUGACAGGUUGAAAGCUCUUUCUUGAUUCAGUGGGUAGCGGUGCAUGGCCGUUCGUAGUUGGUGAAGUGAUUUGUCUGGUUUAUUCCGAUAACGAACGAGACUCUAGCCCAUUAAUUAGCGUGGCGAUUCUGUGUCGUCAUUGUGCUUCUUAGAGGGACAGGUGCUGCUUAAGCACACGAAGCUGAGCAAUAACAGGUCUGUGAUGCCCUUCGAUGUUCGAGGCUGCACGCGCGCUACAAUGGAGGGUACAGAGCGCACAACGCUUCCCGGCAGGGACGCGGAACCGAAAAUGCCCUUCGUGACUGGGAUCGGGGAUUGAAAUUGUUUCUCGUGAACGAGGAAUUCCUAGUAAGCGCGGGUCAUUAUCUCGUGUUGAUUAAGUCCCUGCCCUUUGUACACACCGCCCGUCGCUACUACCGAUGAAUGGUUUGGUGAGGUCUGCGGAUAGGUGUCGCUGGGGCUUCGGCUACCGGUUGCACUUCCUUAAAGUUGAUCGGACUUAAGCGUUUAGAGGAAGUAAAAGUCGUAACAAGGUUUC